rnacentral:lncRNA from 1 species
GCCAUUCUACUUCCCAGCUGGCUGGCUUCAGGACAGGAAUUCUUGGCUCUUUCUGAGAUAUGGUGGAUGAUAGCAGUCCCUUGGGAUCCCCAUAUCUGUGUAAAUGUACCUCAGAGAAGAAGUGAUGGCAAUACCAAGGAUUGGCUUUCAGGACAUUCAUUGUAGAAUAAGGAGGUCUGGACUUGGACAAGUAGAAGAAUGCUUCAAGCUUCAGACAAAUUUAAGCAUUCUCACUUGGAAGCACCUUAAAUCCUUGGUGUUCAGAUUUGACAACCGUAAAAAUGUUCGCUAAAGAGGUUUGCGGGGGAUUCCUUGAGCAGCACAAGAUUAUUUUUUUCCCAACAACUAAAAAUAUUUAGUAGACAAUGUCUUGCUCUGUUGUCCAGGUUGGAGUACAGUGGUGCUAACAUGGCUCACUGCAGCCUCAACCUUCCAGGUUCAAGCAAUCUCCCACCUCAGCCUCCCGAGUAGCUGGGACUACAGGCAUGCACUACCACACCCAGGACCAUUGAACUUACUCCAGUCUCCGAAUUUUUCUGAGAUUUCUAAAAGUUGCAAAGGAUGUACAGCAGGACCAAUGCAGUCUGUUGAGUGACCCUGAUAUAUCAAGGUUCUUUACUAGACACUUUGGGUAAAACAAUAAUGCUUCUUCAGCCCUUACAGUGUGUCAGGGACUCUGAUAAAUACUUCGUGUGCAUUUUUUCAAUGACUUCACAAAAUCCUCAAGUGGCAUAUGCAUUAUGAUCUCCACUGUACAACUAGAAAAUCAAGGUGCAGAAACGUAAUUUGCUUGAGGUCACACAGCAAUUUGGGAGUUAAUUGGGAUUAAUACUUUUUUUUUCUUUGAGACAAGGUCUCACUCUGUUGCCCAGGCUGGAGUGUGAUGGCGCAAUCUCAGCUCACUGCAACCUCCACCUCCCAGGCUCAAGCCGUCCUC